GGGGCUAUACUGGAUAGAUGAUUUUUCCUGUAAUGGUUUUUUGUUUAAAUGUUUUUUCGCCUAAGGAUGGGUCUGCGGCAGAUUAGGUAGUUGGUUAGGUAAUGGCUUACCAAGCCUAUGAUCUGUACGGGUUGUGAGAGCAAGAGCCCGGAGAUGGAACCUGAGACAAGGUUCCAGGCCCUACGGGGCGCAGCANGCGCGAAACCUCCGCAAUGUGAGAAAUCGCGACGGGGGGAUCCCAAGUGCCAUUCUUAACGGGAUGGCUUUUCUUAAGUGUAAAAAGCUUUUGGAAUAAGAGCUGGGCAAGACCGGUGCCAGCCGCCGCGGUAACACCGGCAGCUCUAGUGGUAGCUGUUUUUAUUGGGCCUAAAGCGUUCGUAGCCGGUUUGAUAAGUCUCUGGUGAAAUCCUGUAGCUUAACUGUGGGAAUUGCUGGUGAUACUGUUGAACUUGAGGUCGGGAGAGGUUAGCGGUACUCCCAGGGUAGAGGUGAAAUUCUGUAAUCCUGGGAGGACCACCUGUGGCGAAGGCGGCUAACUGGAACGAACCUGACGGUGAGGGACGAAAGCUAGGGGCGCGAACCGGAUUAGAUACCCGGGUAGUCCUAGCCGUAAACGAUGCGGACUUGGUGUUGGGAUGGCUUUGAGCUGCUCCGGUGCCGAAGGGAAGCUGUUAAGUCCGCCGCCUGGGAAGUACGGUCGCAAGACUGAAACUUAANAGGAAUUGGCGGGGGGGCACCACAACGCGUGGAGCCUGCGGUUUAAUUGGAUUCAACGCC
rnacentral:rRNA from 1 species